rnacentral:lncRNA from 1 species
UAUUAGAGGUAUAGUUAGUUGCAUUAGUUACUAGUUAGUUAGUCUAGUUAGUUAGCCUAUAAAUAAGUCAAUUGUACCUAAUUUUCUUAUCAAUUGUAAUUGUACUCAUUAUCAUCAAUACAAAUAUUUUACUUUUCUCUCUACUUUUCUAUGGAUGCCAUGAUUCUUAACAUGGUAUCAGAGCAAAUUUGGUAUCCACCUUGAAGAAAUUUUCAGCUGCAUUUUCUUGAGAAAAUUCAAUUUUCUCAUAUCUCUUUAGUUUCUUUCUCCCAAUUUCAUUCACAGAAUCAAUUUCCCCUAUCCGUUUAUUUCACCGAUUCAUCAUCUUCUUCAAUUUCGUUUUUGAUUGAGUUCUUGAUGUUGCUUCGCUCAUAUCUGUGUGAUAUUUGCAGAUUGAUUCCUUCUUGUUUCGUUGCUCUUCUCAUUCUUUGUUGAAAAUUUGUUUUCGAUUCAUUUAUUUGAAUUCAUCUUUCUUCCUUUAUCCAACAUCCAGAUUCAUUGAUUUUCGUUUUCUGUUGAGACUCCAGCAUGGCACUUUCAUUCUAGUUAUUUUCCCCAAAUUCUAGGGUUUGCAAUUCCAUUUUCGAUUGCAUUUCAGAUUAUUGAUUUUUCAUUUCCAUUUCCGACCUCACAGUUCAAUUCAAGGUGGUGUCAUCAGCGGUAGUUGUUGGCGUUACAAGUCGUUGCCUCUGUUCUUGGCUUUUAGCUGUAACACCCCCUUUUCAGAGACUGAAAAGAAGAGCGUCACAGUUCUCUACCCAAAUUUAAAUGCUUAAAUACAAGCAAAUAAAAUUAUGCUGGUUUAUUUU